rnacentral:lncRNA from 1 species
CCCGGCCUAGAGUGACUAUGAAAGUCUGUUUUCAUCAUUUCUGGGUUUUCUGCACAGACAGGCUUCCCAUACAGGAGAUGUUACUGAUGGCUUUGUUGAAGGAGGAUUUAGUCGAUAACAUGGAAAUAGUUUGUAAUAAGAGAUAAAUAUUUGCAAUAAGAGGCUUGGUUUUUUAAGGAAAUGUACCCUUCUAAUUGCCACCGUCGACCAUAAAUUUGCAUUCUUAAUGAAGGAGAAAACAAAGUAGUGAAAUGUUAACCGACUCUGAGUUUGGAGAGAUGGGUAAAUUAGCCUCUUGGGAGUUUACACAGUUCCUCUCUUGAAUUCACUUGUUCUUCUUCAUUGUUUAUUUGCACAUACCUGGUUUCACAUAAGUAAUAAAAGAUUUUUCUUUCUCUCUGUGCUUAUCUAUGUUACACACCAGAGACCUUACCUGAAACUUGAACCCUGGGGAGAGGCUAUUCCCAACAAAAACUACCAAAGCGCAGAGCUAGAGAUUCCCUGGUGACAACGGCUUUUAAAUCCAGUGGAAACAGAGAACUGCAUGAAGCAGCAGAGGGGUCAGCUGCAAGCCGGGGCCCUGCCCCCAGCCCCGGUAACCAGAAUCCCCCAGUCUUUGGAAAGGUAGAUACCAAUGGCACUACCUUCAGCCAGCGUCACAGGCCAAGAGCUGAGGUAGACAGAGGAGCCCCAGUCAUGUGGAAGAAAAGCACUGGACUUAGAUUUCGAUAAUUGAAUGAAGGUCUUACUGGUUGCACAACCCUGGGCAAGACUGUUUCCCUCACUGAACCUGCCUCUACUUCUGUAAAAUGGGGAUGUGUGAUGUUUGAUGUACCUCACAGGCUUGUCAUGAGGAUUGAAUGGGAUGACAAGGAAACUACUUGGCAAACUCUAAAGACUUGCUACUCAAAGGGGCUCCUCAGACCUGCAGCACCAGCAUCAUUCAUAAGUUUGUGAAAAAGGCAAAUCUCCCCACCCCAGACCUCCUGAGACAGAAUCUGCAUUUCAGCAGCAUCCCCAGGUUAGUCAUAUGCACGUUAAAGUUGAGAAGCCCUGCUCUAAGGCACUAAAUCAGUGCAGCCUGUUGUAAUUUGGGGCUCUGUUUUCC